rnacentral:rRNA from 1 species
AUUCCAGCUCCAAUAGCGUAUAUUAAAGUUGUUGCAGUUAAAAAGCUCGUAGUUGGAUUUCUGGUUUGAUGCCCUGGCCCGCUUCAAAUUUUGGAGUGUGUGCCGGCUGUGCGUCUGCCAUCCUUCUAGAAAACGUUCGUACCCUUCACUGGGCCGCGUUCGAGAUCUAGAUCUUUUACUUUGAAAAAAUUAGAGUGUUUAAAGCAGGCAGUUGCUAUGAAUACAUUAGCAUGGAAUAAUAAUCUAGGACUUCGGUUCUAUUUUGUUGGUUUCUAGUACUGAAGUAAUGAUUGAUAGGGAUAGUUGGGGGUGCUAGUAUUCCAUUGUCAGAGGUGAAAUUCUUGGAUUUAUGAAAGACUAACUUCUGCGAAAGCAUUUACCAAGGAUGUUUUCAUUG